UUCCGGUUGAUCCCGCCGGACCUGACUGCUAUCGGAACGGGACUAAGCCAUGCGAGUCUGCCAGUCUAAGCACGUUGGCUGGCGGCGAACGGCUCAGUAACACGUAGUCAACCUGCCCUCGGGUCGAGAACAAUCUCGGGAAACUGAGGCUAAUUCUCGAUAGAUCAAGAUUCCUGGAAUGGGUUUUGGUCGAAACGGCGUAACAGCAUCUUGUUAUUUUCGCCCGUGGAUGGGACUGCGGCCGAUCAGGCUGUUGGUGAGGUAAAGGCUCACCAAACCAGUAACCGGUACGGGCUUUGAGAGAAGGAGCCCGGAGAUGGACACUGAGACAAGGGUCCAGGUCCUACGGGGCGCAGCAGGCGCGAAACCUUCGCAAUGCGCGAAAGCGCGACGAGGUUAUUCCGAGUGAUCUCCGCUGAGGAGAUCUUUUCUCAGAUCUAAAAUGUCUGGGGAAUAAGGGGAGGGCAAGUCUGGUGUCAGCCGCCGCGGUAAUACCAGCUCCUCGAGUGGUCAGGGCGUUUAUUGGGCCUAAAGCAUCCGUAGCCGGCUCAGUAGGUCUCCUGUUAAAUCCAACGGCUCAACUGUUGGUCUGCAGGAGAUACCACUGGGCUAGGAGGCGGGAGAGGCGGACGGUACUCCGAGGGUAGGGGUAAAAUCCUUUGAUCCCCGGAAGACCACCAGUGGCGAAGGCGGUCCGCCAGAACGCGCUCGACGGUGAGGGAUGAAAGCUGGGGGAGCGAACCGGAUUAGAUACCCGGGUAGUCCCAGCUGUAAACGAUGCGAGCUAGGUGACACAAGGCCUUCGGGGCCUUGUGGUGCCGCAGGGAAGCCGUUAAGCUCGCCGCCUGGGGAGUACGGACGCAAGUCUGAAACUUAAAGGAAUUGGCGGGGGAGCACCACAAGGGUGAAGCCUGCGGUUCAAUUGGAUUCAACGCCGGA
rnacentral:rRNA from 1 species